AUUGGGAUGGCAGAGCCCGGCAAUUGCGAAAGACCUAAGCUCUUUCACUCAGAGGUUCAAGUCCUCUUCCCAGUU
rnacentral:tRNA from 1 species